CCAAUAGCGUAUAUUAAAGUUGUUGUGGUUAAAAAGCUCGUAGUUGAACCUUGGGCCUGGCUGGCCGGUCCGCCUCACCGCGUGUACUGGUCCGGCCGGGCCUUUCCCUCUGUGGAACCUCAUGCCCUUCACUGGGUGUGACGGGGAAGCAGGACUUUUACUGUGAAAAAAUUAGAGUGCUCCAAGCAGGCCUAUGCUCGAAUACAUUAGCAUGGAAUAAUGAAAUAGGACGUGCGGUUCUAUUUUGUUGGUUUCUAGGACCGCCGUAAUGAUUAAUAGGGACAGUCGGGGGCAUCAGUAUUCAAUUGUCAGAGGUGAAAUUCUUGGAUUUAUUGAAGACUAACUACUGCGAAAGCAUUUGCCAAGGAUGUUUUCAUUAAUCAGGAACGAAAGUUAGGGGAUCGAAGACGAUCAGAUACCGUCGUAGUCUUAACCAUAAACUAUGCCGACUAGGGAUCGGACGAUGUUAUUUUUUGACUCGUUCGGCACCUUACG
rnacentral:rRNA from 1 species